CAAGUCGAACGAAUCCCUAGGGGCUUGCUCCUAGGGGAAAGUGGCGAAAGGGGCAGUAAGGCGUGGGUAACCUACCCCGGGGACCGGGAUAGCCUUCCUAACGGAAGGGUAAUACCGGGCGAUGUCGUGGCCGCGCAUGGGGCCGCGAUGAGAUGAAUUUCGCCUCGGGAGGGGCUCACGUGGUAUUAGCUUGUUGGUGAGGUAACGGCUCACCAAGGCCGAGAUGCCUAGCGGGUGUGAGAGCACGACCCGCGCCACUGGCACUGAGACACUGGCCAGACUCCUACGGGAGGCUGCAGUCGAGGAUCUUCGGCAAUGGGCGCAAGCCUGACCGAGCGACGCCGCGUGUGCGAUGAAGGCCUUCGGGUUGUAAAGCACUGUCGAGGGGGAGGAAGCCGAAAGGUUGACCUAUCCCUGGAGGAAGCACGGGCUAAGUUCGUGCCAGCAGCCGCGGUAAGACGAACCGUGCGAACGUUGUUCGGAAUCACUGGGCUUAAAGGGCGCGUAGGCGGGCUGUCAAGUCCGGGGUGAAAUCUUUCGGCUUAACCGGAAAAGUGCCUUGGAUACUGGCAGUCUGGAGGGAGGUAGGGGCAUGUGGAACUUCCGGUGGAGCGGUGAAAUGCGUUGAUAUCGGAAGGAACGCCGGUGGCGAAAGCGACGUGCUGGACCUCUUCUGACGCUGAGGCGCGAAAGCUAGGGGAGCGAACGGGAUUAGAUACCCCGGUAGUCCUAGCCCUAAACGAUGGGUACUAGGUAGUAGACUUAACAUGGGUUUACUGCCGAAGCAAAAGUGCUAAGUACCCCGCCUGGGGAGUAUGGUCGCAAGGCUGAAACUCAAAGGAAUU
rnacentral:rRNA from 1 species